rnacentral:rRNA from 1 species
UACGGGGGGGGUAAGCGUUGUUCGGAAUUACUGGGCGUAAAGGGCUCGUAGGCGGCCAACUAAGUCAGACGUGAAAUCCCUCAGCUUAACUGGGGAACUGCGUCUGAUACUGGAUGGCUUGAGUUCGGGAGAGGGAUGCGGAAUUCCAGGUGUAGCGGUGAAAUGCGUAGAUAUCUGGAGGAACACCGGUGGCGAAGGCGGCAUCCUGGACCGACACUGACACUGAGGAGCGAAAGCCAGGGGAGCAAACGGG